GACGAACGCUGGCGGCGUGCCUAAUACAUGCAAGUAGAACGCACAGUUUAUACCGUAGCUUGCUACACCAUAGACUGUGAGUUGCGAACGGGUGAGUAACGCGUAGGUAACCUGCCUGGUAGCGGGGGAUAACUAUUGGAAACGAUAGCUAAUACCGCAUAAUAUUGAUUAUUGCAUGAUAAUUAAUUGAAAGGUGCAAUUGCACCACUACCAGAUGGACCUGCGUUGUAUUAGCUAGUAGGUGAGGUAACGGCUCACCUAGGCGACGAUACAUAGCCGACCUGAGAGGGUGAUCGGCCACACUGGGACUGAGACACGGCCCAGACUCCUACGGGAGGCAGCAGUAGGGAAUCUUCGGCAAUGGACGAAAGUCUGACCGAGCGACGCCGCGUGAGUGAAGAAGGUUUUCGGAUCGUAAAGCCCUGUUGUAAGAGAAGAACGGGUGUGAGAGUGGAAAGUUCACACUGUGACGGUAUCUUACCAGAAAGGGACGGCUAACUACGUG
rnacentral:rRNA from 1 species